GGGCACUGCUGUUCUUUAGUUUAGUUUUAAAAUCUGUUCAGUCCUUUUUUCACUGUCUUACACCGGUAAACUAGGUAGGCGUUCAUCUCCACUGGCUGCCAAUUCAUAGGCCAGUAGUGAUCUUCAUGGGUACAAGUAUUCUUGGAUUUAAUUUUAAAAAGUAUCUAAAUUUACUGCAAUAUCACAUAUCAGGGAUCUUUAACUUGUAGGUCUCUGGCGAUGAACAACAUUGGCAGGCAUCCAUGUUCUUCAAUAUAAUUUUAAUUAAAAAUGCUAUUUAAAUUUAGUGCACUACUCUGUACUAGUGAAUCUGUUUGUUAACAAGUGACAACCAAGCUUUAACUUUUUUUGGAUCGAAUGUUAUAAAUUAUGUAGGGGCUACCUUUCUCAUGGAAACAGCCUCACAUUAACUGAAGAUUUGGAACAUCUAUUCACAGACUACGUGGUUUGCUUCUAGCAGUCACUGCACCUAAGGUACAAAAAGUUCUCUUUGAUUUCAAAAUUUUUUAGAAAUCUGAUCGUCCAGUGCUUAGUAACUACCAUUCUUGGUACAAAAUGCAUCCAUUCUGCACUCCUGCCUUCGGAUCUCACGUCCAAAAGGUAACACAACUAUUAUUAUGCCUGAAUAGAGGAUCUAGAAAUAUCCCUCUGCACAUAUGAAACUUUUAAAUUAUUUCAGAAUUUUAUUAAAGAUAACAGUCAUGUU